rfam:Triticum aestivum genome assembly, contig: Triticum_aestivum_CS42_TGACv1_scaffold_221504_3B
GUACUACUCCCUCCAUCCGGAAACAUUUGUCGGAGAAAUGGAUGUAUCUAGACAUAUUUUAGUUCUAGAUAUAUCCAUUUUUAUUCAUUUAUGCGACAAAUAAUUCCGGAUGGAGGGAGUACUUG